CAGUAGCCGCGGGAAUACGUAGGUGGCAAGCGUUGUCCGGAAUUAUUGGGCGUAAAGGGCUCGCAGGCGGUUUCUUAAGUCUGAUGUGAAAGCCCCCGGCUCAACCGGGGAGGGUCAUUGGAAACUGGGAAACUUGAGUGCAGAAGAGGAGAGUGGAAUUCCACGUGUAGCGGUGAAAUGCGUAGAGAUGUGGAGGAACGCCAGUGGCGAAGGCGACUCCCUGGUCUGUAACUGACGCUGAGGAGCGAAAGCGUGGGGAGCGAACAGGAUUAGAGACCCCCGUAGUCCCUGUCUCUUAUAC
rnacentral:rRNA from 1 species